rnacentral:rRNA from 1 species
AUGGACUCAAUUCUUUCUAAUGGAACUUGGGAACUAACUGAUAGACCAUAUGGUUGUAAACCUGUGGGCUGUAAGUGGGUGUUCAAAAAGAAGCUAAAGCCUGAUGGUACUAUUGAUAAGUACAAGGCGCGGCUAGUGGCCAAGGGCUACACUCAGAAAGAAGGCGAAGAUUACUUUGACACCUAUUCACCCGUUGCUAGAAUGACCACCAUUCGAGUGUUACUUUCCUUGGCUGCCUCUUAUGGUCUUAUCAUUCAUCAAAUGGAUGUAAAGACAGCUUUUCUCAAUGGAGAGUUGGAAGAGGAGAUCUAUAUGGAUCAUCCUGACGGGUUUGUAGUAAAGGGUGAAGAGAGAAAGGUGUGCAAGUUGUUAAAAUCUUUGUAUGGUCUAAAACAGGCACCUAAGCAAUGGCAUGAGAAGUUUGAAAGAACUCUGACUUCUGCAGGAUUUGUCAUUAACGAGGCUGAUAGGUGUGUUUACUAUCGCCAUGGUGGGGGAUGA